CAGCCGCCACGGUAAUACGUAGGGUGCAAGCGUUAAUCGGAAUUACUGGGCGUAAAGCGUGCGCAGGCGGUUUGUUAAGACAGAUGUGAAAUCCCCGGGCUCAACCUGGGAACUGCAUUUGUGACUGGCAAGCUAGAGUCUGGCAGAGGGGGGUGGAAUUCCGCGUGUAGCAGUGAAAUGCGUAGAUAUGCGGAGGAACACCGAUGGCGAAGGCAGCCCCCUGGGCCAACACUGACGCUCAUGCACGAAAGCGUGGGGAGCAAACAGGAUUAGAUACCCCGGUAGUCCCUGUCUCUUAUAC
rnacentral:rRNA from 1 species